rnacentral:misc_RNA from 1 species
GAUGAAGAACGUAGCGAAAUGCGAUAAGUAGUGUGAAUUGCAGAAUUCAGUGAAUCAUCGAAUCUUUGAACGCACAUUGCGCCCCAUGGUAUUCCGUGGGGCAUGCCUGUUCGAGCGUCAUUUACCCCCUCAAGCUCCGCUUGGUGUUGGGCGUCUGUCCCGCUUCGCGCGCGGACUCGCCCCAAAGGUAUUGGCAGCGGUCGUGCCAGCUUCUCGCGCAGCACAUUGCGCUUCUCGAGGCACCGGUGGGCCCGCGUCCAUCAAGCUCACCCCCCCAGUUUGACCUCGGAUCAGGUAGGGAUACCCGCUGAACUUAAGCCUAUCAAUAAGCGGAGGA